CACCGUGAGGGCGUCGUCGGCGGAGGCCGAAGCCGCCGGCCGCCGCGCGGUCCUUGGCCUCAUGGCCAGCGGAGUCGUCGGCAGCGCGUUCGCUCAGGUGGUGCACGCCGGCACCGUCGCGGCCAUCAAGGUUGGCCCGCCGCCUCCGCUCUCCGGUGGACUCCGUGAGUGCCUCCAGCUGCUCGUUCUAUACUCGCUUUAUAGUAGACAGAAGACUAUAUAAUGAUGAUUUUACGCCUGAUCUGAUGGAUGAUUUGGGUGUGUGUGUGUCAGCCGGCACGGACAACUCGGACGAGGCAAGGGACUUCGACCUGCCCCUGAAGAACCGGUUCUACCUGCAGCCGCUGCCACCGGCGCAGGCGGCGGUCCGGGCCAAGGAGUCGGCCCAGGACAUCCUCAACCUCAAGCCGCUCAUCGACAAGAAGCAAUGGCCGUACGUCAUGAACGACCUCCGCCUCAGGGCCUCCUACCUGCGCUACGACCUCAAGACCGUCAUCUCCUCCAAGACCACCAAGGAGGAGAAGAAGGACCUCAAGGACCUCACCGGCAAGCUCUUCGCCACCCUCGACGGGGUAACAAACCAUCAUCUCGCAGUUUCAAACCUGAACAUUUUCGCAAGAAGAAUUGCAGGACUAACAGGUGUGAGCUUCUCCGUUUUUUCUUUCUUGCAGCUUGACCACGCAGCCAAGAUCAAGAGCCCCACCGAGGCCGAGAAGUACUACGGCGAGACCAAGACUGUUCUCGGCGAUGUCCUCGCCAAGCUAGGCUAGAUGGAUCCACAUAAUGGCCGUGUUGCUUUCAGGCCUUUUAUGUUUUGUUCAUAUUUGGAAGCCGGCAAUGUAACUUCCCUGUUGAUAAUAUGUCAACAAGCA
rnacentral:lncRNA from 1 species